rnacentral:rRNA from 1 species
GACGAACGCUGGCGGCGUGCUUAACACAUGCAAGUCGAACGGAGCGGCGGACGGGUGAGUAAUGCCUAGGAAUCUGCCUGAUAGUGGGGGAUAACGUUCGGAAACGGACGCUAAUACCGCAUACUAUCAGAUGAGCCUAGGUCGGAUUAGCUAGUUGGUGGGGUAAUGGCUUACCAAGGCUACGAUCCUUAACUGGUCUGAGAGGAUGAUCAGUCACCCUGGAACUGAGACACGGUCCAGACUCCUACGGGAGGCAGCAGUGGGGAAUAUUGGACAAUGGGCGAAAGCCUGAUCCAGCCAUGCCGCGUGUGUGAAGAAGGUCUUCGGAUUGUAAAGCACUUUAAGUUGGGAGGCGUUACCAACAGAAUAAGCACCGGCUAACUCUGUGCCAGCAGCCGCGGUAAUAC